rnacentral:rRNA from 1 species
CUGACGUAGGGGCAAGCGGUUGUCCGGAUUUAUUGGCGUAAAGCGCACGCAGGCGGUCUCUUAAGUUUCGAGUGACAGGUGGUGGCUACAACUGCCACAGGCCUUGGAAAACUGGGAGACUUUGAGGACUUCAGAGGGAUGCGGAAUUCCAGGUGGAGCGGUGAAAUGCGUAGAGAUCUGGAAGAACACCAAAGGCGAAGGCAGCAUCCUGGGAAGUAACUGACGCUCAUGUGCGAAAGCUAGGGGAGCGAACGGG